rnacentral:rRNA from 1 species
GAUCUGUCUAGUUAAUUCCGAUAACGAACGAGACUCUCCCCUGCUAAGUUGGAUCUUGAUUCGCGAGUACUGCGCCCUGGGUGUUUGUCUUCUCACGGUCUGGGACUGAGUCUGCUCGUGUGGGAGGCGUGUGUGUGUGUGCUUCGCGCGCGCGCCCGUGCUCUUUCGCGCUUGCUUUCUCUUCGUCUUGGCCUGGGGAGCCCUCAGGUAGUGCACACUCCAAGUCCGCCGCUUAUGCUGUAAGUCUUCUUAGAGGGAUCCACGGCUCUGAAGCCGUCAGAGACUGAGAGCAAUAACAGGUCUGUGAUGCCCUUAGAUGCUCUGGGCCGCACGCGCGCUACAAUGCGGGCACAGCAGGUGUUCUCCCUUCUCCGAGAGGAGCGGGCAACCCUCUGAAAGCCCUUGGCGUGCUGGGGCCUGGAGCUUGCAAUUCUUCUCCACAAACUAGGAAUGCCUAGUAGCGGUGGGUCACUGAGCCCACCGUGACUCAGUCCCUGCCCUUUGUACACACCGCCCGUCGCUACUACCGAUUGGGUGUACCAGUGAGAGCCUUGGACUGGCGGCCGUUGCCCCUUGGGGCAAGCGGUUUCGACUGAAAGAGGUCCGAACUGGUGCACUAGAGGAAUACAAGUAUGCA